AGACGGCCCUAUCCCUGUCUCCCUUGGCUGACUCUCUUUUCGGACUCAGCCCGCCUGCACCCAGGUGAAAUAAACAGCCUUGUUGCUCACACAAAGCCUGUUUGGUGGUCUCUUCACACAAACGCGCAUGAAAUUUGGUGCCAUGACUCGGAUCGGGGUACCUCCCUUGGGAGAUCAAUCCCCAGUCCUCCUGCUCUUUGCUCCGUGAGAAAGAUCUACCUAGGACCUCAGGUCCUCAGACUGACCAGCCCAAGGAACAUCUCACCAAUUUCAAAUCUGCCACUCCCAGAGCCCCUGGAACUCUGGCCCAAGCCUCUCUGACUGACUCCUUCCCAGAUCUUCUCGGCUUAGCAGCUGAAGACUGACACUGCCCAAUCGCCUUGGAAGCCCCCUAGACCAUCACGGAUGCCGAGCUUCGAGUAACUCUCACAGUGGAGGGAACGCGCAUGAAAAAACCAAACAAACAAAAAAAUUUCUUUUGGUAGCAGAAUAAAAAAACAAAAAAAAGGACUUUUUCUUCUGGACUGAACUAUAUUUAAAUCUCAAAGGAUGGACAUCUCACAACCUUCCUACAGCAAGUACUGUGAGAAAAGAUACUAGCGCCAGUCUGGCAGGGGCCUUUUCUAGUCUCAAGCACGCUGAGCAGUCCUACACCUUGCCUUCUGAGAGAGAAGAGGACAGUCCUCAGCCUCCUGAAGCCUGGCAAGGGUGCCUUAGUGAGGACAUCACCUGCAACUCCCAGAUGGAUAGACGAGGCCAUGGAGAGAGGAGAACACCAACCCAUGAGUGACAAGUGCCUGUCAUUGUCAAUGAUGCUGCAAGCACCACGAUGCCCCUUCUUAGCAGGGACCCAGUGGGCCUUACCAGCUUCAUUAUUUUCUAGGCAUGAUCGCAUCCUGUCUCCCAUUUUUGCUAAAAUUCUAUCUAGAGAAAGAGCUCAUUUUUAGCUAAAAAAAAAAAAAUCCUGUUUUAUCUGCUAAAAAAUCACAUAAAAUAACUAUUGGACUGUUUGAAAUGGCGUGGCCUCUGCUCUGACUUAUUAACUGUGAUCUUGACUAAGUUAAGCAGUCACUCUGACCUUACGUUACUCCCUCAAAUUUGAAUAAAAAUAGCAACUUCCUCUACUUAUAAAUUACUUCUAAAAAUUAGAUUCUUGAGAUUCAAAGAUAGGUAAUACCUGCCUUCAAGAAACUAACUCUCAAGGCUGCUGUAUGGAAAUCCUGCCUCCUAACUAGAUUGCACUCUUCUAAAUGCUGUACUACUGCUAUACACAUUCUCCAAAUCAAGUUAAUUUCAAAGUCUUGCUGAAUCUACUUUUUAGAAAUAUCUAAGUCAUGUGUACGUCUUUCCAUUCCUGCAUCCCAGGGGAUUGCAGCCAUCAGCUCACCUCCUCUCCUAAUCCAAAAUGUUCCUAACUGGUCUCCUGCCUUGCCUUUCUCCUGAUCACUUCCUACAACAGAGUGAUCGUGACUUGAAAUGCAAAUUAUAUUGUAUGAGUUAUCUCCCAAAAACAUUCAGCUGCCUAGCUCCCUUAACAUGAAGUCCAAAUUGCCCUAACAUGGAGUCCAAAUUUCGUUAGCAUGGUUUAAGAGUCUCUUCAUGAACAAAAGGCUUCUGUCUUCUCCAGUCAUACCCAAAUCUUUCCUAAUCAAAAGCCAUUUUUAUCAGUUUAAGAACAGAGACAGUUGUUCCAGAUAUAAGGAAGAGCAUUGGCAAAGUUGCAGAUAAUAAUUUAGGUGAGUGUGAUUCAGAGAUCUCAUUAGUGAUGCCUCAGAAUGACUAGGAGACAUGGAUAAAAGGAUAACAAGAAAGAAAAGGA
rnacentral:lncRNA from 1 species